GUUUUUUCUCCCUCUGCUUGCUUCUUACUGUCUUUGAGGCUCAGGACCAGCACUCCUGUUGUUGGACAGAAAGACAUCAACUUGAGAUAUGACUGCACUAUGCUGUUGCUGUGACUCCAGUUAAAUCUACAAGACAUGCUGUGACACCAGGAGAGAUGAGUCCUCCGUCACAGAUGGUGUGGUCAGUGAAGAUGGUCGCCUGCAAGUUCAAGCUCAUUGCAUCUCCAACCAUCAACCACUGCCACUGUACUUAAGGGAAGUUAAAGACUUUCUUCUGCACCUACAUUUGGAUCACCUCGAUCCAUGACAGUCAUUCAGGCAGUAAUGCCUGGACUGGAAAC
ensembl:lncRNA